GAAAUGCGAUAAUUAAUGUGAAUCGCAGAAUUCAGUGAAUCAUCGAGUCUUUGAACGCACAUUGCGCCCCCUGGUAUUCCGGGGGGCAUGCCUGUCCGAGCGUCAUUGCUGCCCUCAAGCACGGCUUGUGUGUUGGGCUUCCGUCCCUGGCAACGGGGACGGGCCCAAAAGGCAGUGGCGACACCAUGUCUGGUCCUCGAGCGUAUGGGGCUUUGUCACCCGCUCCCGUAGGUCCAGCUGGCAGCCAGCCUCGCAACCAAUCUUUUUAACCAGGUUGACCUCGGAUCAGGUAGGGUUACCCGCUGAACUUAAGC
rnacentral:misc_RNA from 1 species